rnacentral:rRNA from 1 species
GACGAACGCUGGCGGCGUGUCUAAUACAUGCAAGUCGAACGCAGUGGGGACGGGUGAGUAAAACGUGGGUAACCUCCCAUCAGAGGGGAUAACACUUGGAAACAGGUGCUAAACCGCUACUGAUGGAUGGACCAGCGGUGCAUUAGCUAGUUGGUGAGGUAACGGCUCACCAAGGCCACGAUGCAUAGCCGGCCUGAGAGGGUGAGCGGCCACACUGGGACUGAGACACGGUCCAGACUCCUACGGGAGGCAGCAGUAGUGAAUCUUCGGCAAUGGACGAAAGUCUGACCGAGCAACGCCGCGUGUGUGAAGAAGGUCUUCGGAUCGUAAAACUCUGUUGGUAGAGAAGCGGUAUCUAACGAGGAAGCACCGGCUAACUACGUGCCAGCAGCCGCGGUAAUUC